rnacentral:sRNA from 1 species
AUUUAUUGAGAACUCAUCAUAUGACAGAAAUGAUGUAAUAUGCCUAUUCCAUGGUAUAUGUGGUCUCAUUUAAUUUACACAGCCCUGUGAGGUAGAGGAUAUUUUCCACCAUCUCCCCCAUGCCAUGACAAAUGGUGAAACUGAGGGCCAGAGAGGUUAGGGAGAUUUCCCAAGUUCACCCAGCUUGUCAAUCAGUCUAAGAGUUGGGGAAAAGGGGUUCUAGGCUGGCUCCCUGGCAUCAAAGCAGGUCAUCUUGAUUGCUAUUGAGGAUUUGACAGGUGAGACCUAGAGGAGGGCUGUGAGUUGACCAAGGGUACACACAGCUUAGGAAUCAUGGCUGGGGCUUGAACCCAGCCAUGGGAUCUUCAUCUCCUAAUAGUAACAGCUUCCACUCUCACCCAAGACUAGUCUCCCUGGGGAUGAGCGUCUGGGACAGAAAACCAGGAGCCUGCCUCUGGGGGAGUCCAUCCUGGUGGCUGGGGUUGCAGGGGGACUCAGAGGAGCCCAAGGCCUGGCCCCAGCCCUGUUCCCUUCUCUGGCCAGGCCAAGUGGCAACGCCUGGCCAUGGAGGGCAGCACCCGUCUGGACAUGUUUGAGCACAUCAACCUUAUGACCCUGGACAGUCUGCAGAAAUGCAUCUUCAGCUUUGACAGCAAUUGUCAGGAGAAGCCCAGUGAAUAUAUUACUGCGAUCAUGGAGCUCAGUGCCCUUGUAGUGAAACGGAAUAACCAGUUCUUCCGGUACAACGACUUCCUGUACUUCCUCACUCC